rnacentral:rRNA from 1 species
UAGGGAAUCUUCGGCAAUGGACGAAAGUCUGACCGAGCAACGCCGCGUGAGUGAAGAAGGUUUUCGGAUCGUAAAACUCUGUUGGUAGAGAAGAACGUUGGUGAGAGUGGAAAGCUCAUCAAGUGACGGUUAACUACCCAGAAAGGGACGGCUAACUACGUGCCCC